CCUACGGGAGGCAGCAGUGGGGAAUCUUGCGCAAUGGGCGAAAGCCUGACGCAGCCAUGCCGCGUGAAUGAUGAAGGUCUUAGGAUUGUAAAAUUCUUUCACCGGGGACGAUAAUGACGGUACCCGGAGAAGAAGCCCCGGCUAACUUCGUGCCAGCAGCCGCGGUAAUACGAAGGGGGCUAGCGUUGCUCGGAAUUACUGGGCGUAAAGGGAGCGUAGGCGGAUAGUUUAGUCAGAGGUGAAAGCCCAGGGCUCAACCUUGGAAUUGCCUUUGAUACUGGCUAUCUUGAGUAUGGGAGAGGUUAGCGGAACUCCGAGUGUAGAGGUGAAAUUCGUAGAUAUUCGGAAGAACACCAGUGGCGAAGGCGGCUAACUGGCCCAUUACUGACGCUGAGGCUCGAAAGCGUGGGGAGCAAACAGGAUUAGAUACCCUGGUAGUCCACGCCGUAAACGAUGAGUGCUAGUUGUCGGCAUGCAUGCAUGUCGGUGACGCAGCUACGACAUUAAGUACACUCCGCCGUCGGGGAGGUACGGUCGGCGAAGAAUUAAAACUAACGAAAGGAAGUUAGACGGCGUGAGACGUCGCCGAACGGACGACCGACGAGGGGAGGUUAGG
rnacentral:rRNA from 1 species